CCUACGGGUGACAGCAGUGAGGAAUAUUGGUCAAUGGACGAGAGUCUGAACCAGCCAAGUAGCGUGAAGGAUGACUGCCCUAUGGGUUGUAAACUUCUUUUAUAUGGGAAUAAAAUGUUCCACGUGUGGGAUUUUGUAUGUACCAUAUGAAUAAGGAUCGGCUAACUCCGUGCCAGCAGCGGCGGUAAUACGGAGGAUCCGAGCGUUAUCCGGAUUUAUUGGGGUUAAAGGGAGCGUAGGUGGAUUGUUAAGUCAGUUGUGAAAGUUUGCGGCUCAACCGUAAAAUUGCAGUUGAAACUGGCAGUCUUGAGUACAGUAGAGGUGGGCGGAAUUCGUGGUGUAGCGGUGAAAUGCUUAGAUAUCACGAAGAACUCCGAUUGCGAAGGCAGUUCACUGGACUGCAACUGACACUGAGGCUCGAAAGUGUGGGUAUCAAACAGGAUUAGAUACCCGUGUAGUC
rnacentral:rRNA from 1 species